UGGCGGCGUGCUUAACACAUGCAAGUCGAGUGCGCGUCCGUAGCAAUACGGAUGGCGCACGGCGCACGGAUGCGUAACACGUGGGCAAUCUGCCCUCCGAUGGGGAAUAACCCCGCGAAAGCGGGGCUAAUUCCGCAUAACAUUCCCUGGACUCCGGUUCGGGGAUUCAAAGCAGCAAUGCGUCGGAGGAGGAGCCCGCGCCCGAUUAGCUAGUUGGUGAGGUAACGGCUCACCAAGGCAAUGAUCGGUAGCUGGUCUGAGAGGAUGGCCAGCCGCACUGGAACUGAGACACGGUCCAGACUCCUACGGGAGGCAGCAGUGGGGAAUCUUGCGCAAUGGGCGAAAGCCUGACGCAGCGACGCCGCGUGGGGGAUGAAGCUUCUCGGAGUGUAAACCCCUUUCGACCGGGACGAAUGCCCGCAAGGGAGUGACGGUACCGGUAGAAGAAGCCCCGGCUAACUACGUGCCAGCAGCCGCGGUAAGACGUAGGGGGCCAGCGUUGUUCGGAAUUACUGGGUGUAAAGGGUUCGUAGGCGGUGUGGCAAG
rnacentral:rRNA from 1 species